UAAAUCCCCUCCCCUUUCUUCGUCACAUCCUCUUUCAAGUUGGUGUCCUCGCAUUAGUGACACAUCUCCACAAGAUGAGAGCAAAGUGGAGGAAGAAGCGUAUGCGCAGGCUGAAGCGUAAAAGGCGAAAGAUGAGGCAGAGGUCGAAGUAGACUGGCCCAUCCAUACCCUACAGCUGUGAUCUCCAAGCCCUCUCUGGUGACUGAAGACUGCAGUCCAUGAUGUGAAGAGCUGAACGUUGCAAUGGCGUAACCCGGCUACCCAGUCUUUGCAAAUGGCUGCUGGAGAAUGGCGAGGAAGACCUGAGAAUUGAAUCUUUGGUCGUUUUUAAUUCUGGCCGUAUACCAUCUGCCCAGCACAGCUGAUUUGUUGUAAAGACCAUAAUAAAUCUUUGGUUUCCUAACUA